rnacentral:tRNA from 1 species
GACUCUGUGGUGAAGUUCAUGUUGAGUUGCAAGCUCAUUGAUGUGCACUAAAAGUGUACCGGAGUCU